GGAGGAGAGAGAAAGAUGAGAAGGGGAAAGAGGGGGAAAGAGGAGGAGAGGCAAGAGAAAGGAAUGCAACGGUGGAAGAGGUGGGUCCUGAAACUGAGAUGGCUGGGACCAAAAGGAGCAUCUGGGGAGAGAAAGAAAGAGGGAUAGAUGGAGGGAGGAAGAAAGAGGGGAAAGAAAGAGGUAAACAAUAAAGGAACAGCGGAGGCAGGAUGAGGUUGGCAUGGGGAGGAGGUGUGAGGUAGAAGGAGGUGUGGGGGGGGAGAGGAGGUGUGGGAGGGAGGAGAUGUGGAGGUCUGAGGGGGAGGAGAGGAGGAGGUGUGAGGGGGAGUAGGAGGUGUGGGGAGAGGAGGUGGAGGUGUGGGGGUGGAGGUGUGAGAGGGAGAAGAGGAGGAGAUGUGGGGAGGCACGUUGGAGAUAUUAGGGGAGGAGAAGAGGUGGUGUGAGUGGGAGGAGAGGAGGAGGUGUGGGGGGAGAAGAGGAGGAGGUGUGAGGGGAGGAGAGAAGGAGGUGUGGGGGAGAAGAGGAGGUGUGUGGGGAGGUGUGAAGGGAGGAGAGGAUGAGGUAGGAGGGGGAGAAGAGGAGGUGUGGG
ensembl:lncRNA